GUUAUCUGAGCAGAGAGAGAGAUGUUUGUCAAAGAGUGGAACUCUUCCAGCAUCCAAAUGUGUCAGUGUUCAUCAUCAUGUGGUGAUCGUGGAAGUGCAUGAGCAAAGUGCAGACAGUUUGAGAAAUCAAACUGUGAAGUGAAUGAAAUCUGAUAGUGACAAUGAGUGAAAAAACAUCUCUGUUCAUCUCAGCCUGGACUCUUAGGAAAGGGAGCUAGUGGAGUCUGGAAGCCUCGAGGAGACCUCAGCUGUUGAUGCCCGUUACCCCCCAUUACCCCGCGCAGAGUGUGUUUUCUCUUUUCUCUCCCAUCUAAAUAUGUCUUGCAGGCCCUUUCCACACCCCCAGAGGUGGGUCAGUAACAGAGACUGGAGAUAUUCAUUCACCCUUCUCGACCCCCUGCUUUCCCCUUGGACCUGCUUUCUCUGACCCCCUUUCGGUUGUAGCCCCCCAGCUGUCAUCAGGGCUCACCCCUGUCAUCUAGAAGCACCUUUCUAAAAAACCUGCCCCCUCCAGUCCCAUCCACCUGCCCACCAGAACCAACCACCCCCUCAGCUCUUAAUGAUUUUAGCAGCUAAUUUACUUUUAGCCUACUUGGUUAUUUGGUAUGGUUGUUUUCUUAGUGGGGAGCCAUUUAAUGACUAUUAAAUUUGAUGGACGAUGAAACAUGUCCUAAAAUAACUUUUCUAGUAUGCGUCAGGUUUGGCGUAACAGAGAUUUUUGGCCUUCAUUCCUUCCCAACUUGUAUGAUAUACCUGGGUUGAUUUUUAAAUUUUUGGGUAGACUAUCACUUUAAGGAUGUUCAAAUCUAUCACGAAAGCCAUUUUUUUGGUGAAGGUGUAACAUGUGAUCUGCACAAGAAUAUCCUGUUUUCCACAGCAAUCUGAGAUAGAGCUUUCCAAACAUCAGUGGAGUAUCAAUAUAAACCUUCUGGAUCAUCAUAAAAAUGCUACUCCAACUCAUAUAUGAAAACAUCCUCAUCUGACUCUCCUCAGACUACACAAACUAUACUAAUGAGAACGCAACAGGGAAGACGUGCCAACCGUGAGGGAGGAGACACUCCAAGGUGAAAAGGUCUACGGUGAAACACUUCUCCAUAUUUGGCUGAGGAAAUCAUCGUGUUUUUCUUUAACAGCACACGUUUUCUAGCUGCUAAAUUACAUGCUGCUUUAUUAGUUUUUAAGAUUUUUUGUUCAACUUAUCACUUGGAGUCAUUUUUGAUCCUAACUUAAGUUCAGAUCGUAUCCAUGGCUAAAAA